GGAUUAGAGUUUGAUCCUGGCUCAGAACGAACGCUGGCGGCAGGCCUAACACAUGCAAGUCGAGCGCCCUUUCGGGGGAGCGGCGGACGGGUGAGUAACGCGUGGGAAUAUGCCCUUCUCUACGGAAUAGCCUCGGGAAACUGAGAGUAAUACCGUAUACGCCCUUUGGGGGAAAGAUUUAUCGGGGAAGGAUUAGCCCGCGUUGGAUUAGGUAGUUGGUGGGGUAAUGGCCUACCAAGCCGACGAUCCAUAGCUGGUUUGAGAGGAUGAUCAGCCACACUGGGACUGAGACACGGCC
rnacentral:rRNA from 1 species